UUUUGUUGCCUCAAUCUUUUUCGGGCCGCGGACAAGGAAACGCAGUUGGCGCUCAAGUCUCUAGUGCGGAACUUUUAAGCAACAAAAAACUACAGCAAAAAACCAACAAAUAUAAUAAUUAUUAAUCACAACUACAACAACAACAAAUUGCAAUAACUGUAACUAUCACGGGAAAAAUACAACAAGCGGUUAAUACUUGAGAAAAUUGAUUAUUAAAUUGAAGAAAGAAUUGAAAAACAAACCAAAAAAUUGUGAUACAAAAAAAAAAGAAAAAACGAGAGGAAAAAUAUAUAACGCGUGUGUUAGUGUGUGUGAGUAAGUGUCCGAUAUAUCCCCUCAGUGUAUAUGUAUAUAUAAAUCAAGCGAAAAAUCCAAAGCGAUAGAAAAGAAAUAAUUCAAAAAGUGGGCGGUGCAAAACAAUUUGAAAUGCUCCACACACAACAACACAGCUUCAACGGCAACAAAAAUUUCAAUUACAGUGCAGCUGAAAAGUAAAACUACACCAACAACAAAAGCAACAACAACAGCAACAAUCUGGCUAUAUAUAAAAACCAGUUAAAAGUGACAGGGAACAACACCAGAAAAUAGCAAAGAGAGCGGUGGAAAUAAAUAAAUAAUAAAUCGAACAAAAGGAAUUUUGGAAAAAAAGUACACCAAAAUCUAUUGAAAAGAUAGA